UACGUAGGGUGCAAGCGUUAUCCGGAUUUAUUGGGCGUAAAGCGAGCGCAGGUGGUUUAUUAAGUCUGGUGUAAAAGGCAGUGGCUCAACCAUUGUAUGCAUUGGAAACUGGUAGACUUGAGUGCAGGAGAGGAGAGUGGAAUUCCAUGUGUAGCGGUGAAAUGCGUAGAUAUAUGGAGGAACACCGGUGGCGAAAGCGGCUCUCUGGCCUGUAACUGACACUGAGGCUCGAAAGCGUGGGGAGCAAACAGG
rnacentral:rRNA from 1 species